rnacentral:rRNA from 1 species
UCUCAGAUGAGGUAGGAAU